UGGGGAAUAUUGCACAAUGGGCGCAAGCCUGAUGCAGCCAUGCCGCGUGUGUGAAGAAGGCCUUCGGGUUGUAAAGCACUUUCAGCGAGGAGGAAGGGUAGUGUGUUAAUAGCACAUUGCAUUGACGUUACUCGCAGAAGAAGCACCGGCUAACUCCGUGCCAGCAGCCGCGGUAAUACGGAGGGUGCAAGCGUUAAUCGGAAUUACUGGGCGUAAAGCGCACGCAGGCGGUUUGUUAAGUCAGAUGUGAAAUCCCCGCGCUUAACGUGGGGACUGCAUUUGAAACUGGCAAGCUAGAGUCUUGUAGAGGGGGGUAGAAUUCCAGGUGUAGCGGUGAAAUGCGUAGAGAUCUGGAGGAAUACCGGUGGCGAAGGCGGCCCCCUGGACAAAGACUGACGCUCAGGUGCGAAAGCGUGGGGAGCAAACA
rnacentral:rRNA from 1 species